GUGAGACCCUGACUCUAAAUAAAACACAAAAUAGGGCUGGGGAUGUGGCUCAGUGGUCGAGUGGCCCCCAAGUUCAAUACCCAGUACCCUCCAAGAAAGAAUAAUUUGCUGUUACAACACACCCCCCAUGGAGACAGCGCGUCCAAGUAGACACAUAAUUACUGUACCGACAGCAUCAUGGAGUUGGAAGUUUGACUCUCCCACUUUUCCUUUUCCUCAGGCCACCUUCUUUGCACAAUGAGCCAUACACUUGAAGGAUGGGGGUGAGAUCUCCCACAGAAUGCUGAGACCGAGGCUGUGACAGCAGUGAUCUUCGCUGCAAAUCAGAGCGUGAAACUGGCUGAUUCAGGCAGAAGUGGGAUUCAUGAAAGAAUGGUUCAGAACUGCUGAGAGGGUGGAGAGCUGGGCACAGACCGACCAGGGGGAGUAGGGGAGGAAAAGUCUGCACCACCUGUCGGACUUCACUUCUGUGGAUUCCCAAGGUCAGAGCGACCGAUGUUCAUCUUUCAACUGAAACAGCACCGGAGGCAACCUUUUAAGAUCUCCUAUUCUCUGUUUUCUACAUUU
rnacentral:lncRNA from 1 species